rnacentral:rRNA from 1 species
UCCGUAGGUGAACCUGCGGAAGGAUCAUAGCAAUCGUCU